UGGGGAAUAUUGGACAAUGGGGGGAACCCUGAUCCAGCAAUGCCGCGUGUGUGAAGAAGGCCUGAGGGUUGUAAAGCACUUUCAGUGGGGAGGAGUCUUGUGUGGUUAAGAGCUAUACAAGAGGACGUUACCUACAGAAGAAGCACCGGCUAACUCCGUGCCAGCAGCCGCGGUAAUACGGAGGGUGCGAGCGUUAAUCGGAAUUACUGGGCGUAAAGGGUGCGUAGGUGGUUUAUUAAGUUAUCUGUGAAAUUCCUGGGCUUAACCUGGGCAGGUCAGAUAAGACUGAUGGACUCGAGUAUAGGAGAGGGUAGUGGAAUUUCCGGUGUAGCGGUGAAAUGCGUAGAGAUCGGAAGGAACACCAGUGGCGAAGGCGGCUACCUGGCCUGAUACUGACACUGAGGCACGAAAGCGUGGGGAGCAAACAG
rnacentral:rRNA from 1 species